rnacentral:rRNA from 1 species
UACGUAGGGCGCAAGCGUUUGUCCGGAAUUAUUGGGCGUAAAGAGCUCGUAGGCGGCUUGUCACGUCGGGUGUGAAAGCCCGGGGCUUAACCCCGGGUCUGCAUUCGAUACGGGCUAGCUAGAGUGUGGUAGGGGGAGAUCGGAAUUCCUGGUGUAGCGGUGAAAUGCGCAGAUAUCAGGAGGAACACCGGUGGCGAAGGCGGGUCUCUGGGCCGAUACUGACGCUGAGGAGCGAAAGCGUGGGGAGCGAACAGG